UGGGGAAUCUUGGACAAUGGGCGCAAGCCUGAUCCAGCGACGCCGCGUGGGUGAUGAAGGCCCUCGGGUUGUAAAGCCCUUUCGCCGGGGACGAUGAUGACGGUACCCGGUAAAGAAGCACCGGCUAACUCCGUGCCAGCAGCCGCGGUAAGACGGAGGGUGCUAGCGUUGUUCGGAAUCACUGGGCGUAAAGGGCGCGUAGGCGGCUGCUUAAGUCGAGGGUGAAAGCCCGGGGCUCAACCUCGGAACGGCCUUCGAGACUGGGCGGCUAGAGACCGGAAGAGGAGGGUGGAAUACCCAGUGUAGAGGUGAAAUUCGUAGAUAUUGGGUGGAACACCAGUGGCGAAAGCGGCUCUCUGGUCCGGAUCUGACGCUGAGGCGCGAAAGCGUGGGGAGCAAACAGGAUUAGAUACCCCGGUAGUCC
rnacentral:rRNA from 1 species